GUCCUCGUGGUGUAGUGGUUAUCAUACUCUCUUAGGGUGACGUCAGUUUCUUAUGGGAGUGGCCCCGCGUUCGAAUCGCGGCGAGGACC
rnacentral:tRNA from 1 species